rnacentral:rRNA from 1 species
UGGGGAAUCUUGGACAAUGGGCGAAAGCCUGAUCCAGCAACGCCGCGUGAGUGAUGAAGGCCUUCGGGUUGUAAAGCUCUGUCGGAGGGAACGAACAAGAGCGACCUAACACGUCGUUCUCUGACGGUACUCCCAAAGGAAGCACCGGCUAACUCUGUGCCAGCAGCCGCGGUAAGACAGAGGGUGCAAGCGUUGUUCGGAAUUACUGGGCGUAAAGGGCGCGUAGGCGGCCCUCUAAGUCAGACGUGAAAUCCCCCGGCUUAACCUGGGAACUGCGUCUGAUACUGGAGGGCUUGAGUAUGGGAGAGGGAUGUAGAAUUCCAGGUGUAGCGGUGAAAUGCGUAGAUAUCUGGAGGAACACCGAUUGCGAAGGCAGCUCACAAAACUGUAACUGACGCUGAGGCACGAAAGUGCGGGGAUCAAACAGGAUUAGAUACCCACGUAGUCCCUGAGCGGGCUGGCAAGGCGCAU